rnacentral:rRNA from 1 species
UACAGAGGGUGCGAGCGUUGUCCGGAAUCACUGGGCGUAAAGGGCGCGUAGGUGGCGGCCCAAGUCCAUGGUGAAAGCUCGAUGCUCAACAUCGAGUCGGCCACGGAUACUGGGUUGCUCGAGCACUGUAGGGGCAGAUGGAAUUCCGGGUGUAGCGGUGGAAUGCGUAGAGAGUCCGGAAGAACACCGGUGGCGAAGGCGGUCGACUGGGC